rnacentral:rRNA from 1 species
UACGUAGGGUGCAAGCGUUGUCCGGAAUUAUUGGGCGUAAAGAGCUCGUAGGCGGUCUGUCGCGUCUGCUGUGAAAACUCAGGGCUUAACCCUGAGCUUGCAGUGGGUACGGGCAGACUAGAGUGCGGUAGGGGAGAUCGGAAUUCCUGGUGUAGCGGUGAAAUGCGUAGAUAUCUGGAGGAAUACCGGUGGCGAAGGCGGCAUCCUGGACCAUUACUGACGCUGAGGCGCGAAAGCUAGGGGAGCAAACGGG